UACGUAGGUGGCAAGCGUUGUCCGGAAUUAUUGGGCGUAAAGAGCUCGUAGGCGGUUUGCUGCGUCGGCUGUGAAAUCCCGAGGCUCAACCUCGGGUCUGCAGUCGAUACGAGCAAACUAGAGUGUUGCAGGGGAGACUGGAAUUCCUGGUGUAGCGGUGAAAUGCGCAGAUAUCAGGAGGAACACCGGUGGCGAAGGCGGGUCUCUGGGCAACAACUGACGCUGAGGAGCGAAAGCGUGGGGAGCGAACAGG
rnacentral:rRNA from 1 species